GCCGCGACGCCGAAGACAGGGUCUGAAGAGCUACUCAGAGCCAACCCUGCACUGGAGACAGGAAGCCGGGCACCUGGAUGAGCCUCUGACCCAGAGCCCUGGAGCCCACAGGCUCGUCUGAGAACUAGACACACUCAGUCACUCCAGCUCCACGGGCAGGCACCUGCACAGAGGCUCCUGCUGCUGCUUCAAAGCUGUAUGAGCUACUUGGAGAACCUUGGCUCAGAGCAGAUGAUGCCCCCUGCACAGGCUGCGGGGCCCUGCAUGUCCGUGGGGCUCACGGUGCGGCGCUUCUGGGACAGCCUGCUGAGGCUGGGCACGCUCCACCAGCAGCCACUCCCCCAGAAAGGGGCAAACCAAAGGGAGAUUCCCACCUCCAAGCCCACCACCAAGGGCGAGCCAGCCAGGAGCCCUGAAUAUCUGACUGCCAAGUUCAUCAAGCCCUCCUCCCCAGUGCUAGGCUUGCCCCAGACCUGCCAAGAGCCAGAGAGCAUCCCUGUCAGAGCCUCCCUGCAGUUCCCAGCCACGACCUCCAAGAACACCAGGAGUGUCCACUCCCAGACCAUUGAGACGGCCCUGGUGCCCUGUGACGCAUGCGCCAGCGUCCAGGGAAGCCUGCGGAAGGUGGGCAAGGUGGUCAUCAGCCUGUGUCAGAGCCAGAACCUGCCCUCGUCCUUAGGCCAGUUCCAGCAACUGGUGCAGGACAGCAUGGGGCUCAGGCCACUGCCGGCUGCCACCGUGGGCCGCUGGGCAGCAGAGCAGAGGAAAGACCUGACGUGCCUCAGUAAGCAUGUGGAGGCCCUCAGGGCCCAGCUGGAGGAGGCCGAAGGGCAGAAGGAUGGCCUGAGGAAGCAGGCGGGCAAGCUGGAGCAGGCGCUGAAACAGGAGCAGGGGGCACGGCAGCAACAGGCGGAGGAGGAUGAGCAGUGCCUGUCUGAGUGGGAGCACGACAAACAGCAGCUGCUCACAGGUCUGUGCCCCAGAGGCCAGACGCCUGGUGCCCAGGGGCUCUGCCACAGCCUUUGCAUGGAUGUUUGUGAGACAGGGCUUCCAGGGCAAGUGGUUUGUGUGGAAGAACCCAGGCUGGGACACAGGCAAGAGGCAGGGAAGGGAGGGCAGCAAGGAAGGGGGUGUUCAUCCGGUGGUGACACUGUGAUCUCAGUCCCACUGGGGCCACCAGGAGCUGGGCUAGGACGCUUGCCCAGACUCGUCCAUCGGUCAGUGAGGGAACCGAGGUAUGUAUCCACUUGCACUGUCAGUCAUUGAGGGCUACUUCCAGAGAGUUAUUCCCCUGGCACUUCCAGCCAAGCAGAGCAGCCUCUCUGGUUUUGGCAAAAGCCAUUAGAGACAAAGUUCCUGGCACCAGAAGUUGGCCAGUGCCCACUGAUGGGAGGCCUGAGGGAUUUGCCCUUUCUGAGCCUCACAGUUGCCUCCAUGGACGACACCAAGGCCCAGAGAGGUGUAGACACAUGGCAGCCAGCCCAUGAGAAGCAGGGUGGGUAAGGGCCCAGCCGCUUCCACCAGCCUCCCUAGAGCUGCUCCCAUGGCCGCAGGCGGCCCCUCUGCAGGCGAUGGGCUGCCUCCACUCCACGGGGCACACUGGGCAUGAAGGCCGCCGGCCAGGUCCAUGGGACCCUCUGAAGGGCCUCUCUCUUUGCUGCCAUAGAAACAAGUGACCUAAAGACAAAGAUGGCCACCCUGGAGAGAGAACUGAAACAGCAGCGGGAGUCCACGCAGGCUGUGGAGGCAAAGGCCCAGCAGCUGCAGGAGGAAGGUGAGCGCAGGGCGGCAGCGGAGAGGCAGGUGCAGCAGCUGGAGGAGCAGGUGCAGCAGUUGGAGGCGCAGGUGCAGCUGUUGGUGGGUCGGCUGGAGGGCGCUGGCCAGCAGAUCUGCUGGGCCAGCACGGAGCUGGAUAAGGAGAAGGCCCGUGUCGACAGCAUGGUCCGCCAUCAGGAGUCUCUGCAGGCCAAGCAGCGAGCCCUGCUAAAGCAGCUGGACAGCCUGGACCAGGAACGUGAGGAGCUGCGGGGCAGCCUGGACGAGGCUGAGGCCCAGCGGGCCCGCGUGGAGGAGCAGCUGCAGAGCGAGCGGGAGCAGGGGCAAUGCCAGCUCAGGGCCCAGCAGGAGCUGCUGCAGAGCCUGCAGAGGGAGAAGCAAGGCCUGGAGCAGGCGACUACGGACCUGCGGCUAACCAUCCUGGAGCUAGAACGGGAGCUGGAGGAGCUGAAGGAGCGGGAGCGGCUGCUGGUGGCCUUCCCAGACCUGCACAGGCCCACCGAGACCCAGAUCCAUGAUCCAGCAGCGUGGAAUACCAGAUAACAUGUCCCACAGACUCUGGCAACGUCACAGAUCACAUGGAGAGGCAAGUGCAGGCCAACGACAUCCGCAUCCGGGUCCUACAGGAGGAGAACGGGCGGCUCCAAUCAAUGCUGUCCAAAAUCCGGGAAGUGGCCCAGCAGGGUGGCCUCAAGCUGAUCCCGCAGGACCGGCUCUGGUCCCCUUCCAGCAAGGGAACCCAGGGAGCAACACCACCAGUCCAGGCCCAGAGCAUAUCCCCAGGGCCUCUGGGCAGACAGCACCUUCCUAGCAGCAGGACGGGUAGGACCCUGCUGGGCCAGCCCUGCACAUCCCCAUCUCGGCAGCCCUGCGCAUCCCCAUCUCGGCAGCCCUGCGCAUCCCCAUCUCGGCAGCCCUGCAGCCAGCCCAGCAAGUCCUUGCUGGAGGGUGUGACCCACUUGGACACCUGCACCCAGAACCCCAUCAAGGUCUUGGUCAGGCUGAGAAAGAGACUGUCACCUGGCCGGGGACAGGCCAGCUCUGCACACCAGCCCCAGGAGCGGCCCAUGUAGCCUGUGGCCCAGGGCUGAGGCUGGAUGGGAGGUGGCUGGCAGCCCACCCACUGUAAUAAAGCCCCAGCCAUUGGCCCACAGCAAUCUUUGCCUCACAGUAUGACUGAGCCAAGGAAAGAACCCUUCCUUCCCUGUCCUGGGCAGGGGCCACUGAGUCCCCAGCCAUGUAGUUCAGUCAGUCAGCAGAGUCCUGGCACUAUGGGCCCUCAGUAAAAGGGGCCUUCCUGCUUCCCUCCCGACAGAGGCUGUGGGAUAGGAGAGUACACCCAGGGCAGAGGAAGCUCCUAGGACCUGGGCCAGGUGAAGGGCCGUUUUUCUAUCCCCAGAGCAAGGGUCGAGGGGUGAAGCUGGGCUCAGUGGCCCGCACUGACUCAGGAAGGGGUCAGGUGGGAGUGGACAGAGGAAGGGCCGGUGAGGAUGUCUGAAGCAGGCAGAGGGCAGCAACGCCUUCAGCCUCCCACCCUGGCUCUGGACCUGCGCUGGGCACAUUAAGGACCCAAGAGGUCAGGCCUCCUUUCACUGAGGAACUCCUUGCCUUUAGGAAAUGGUGACGGUCAUGAAGGUUUCUCUAAAUCCUGGAGGUCAUAGCCCCAGGAGGCCACUGAAGGCAGGGCAAGGCCUCCACCAAGCAGAGGACACCCUGCCAGCCCCGGCUUUCCCAUCCCUGUCCCUUGGGGGUUUCUUCAGCCCAGGGUGCCAUGCGGCCAAGCAUCUGGGGCUCUGGUUUUCCUCAUGAAGCCACCAGCCUACCCUGAGCCACCUCACCUGUGAAUGACAAUCUCCAAAAACUUGCUGAGGCCUUCUCAGGGUGCACGCUCCCAAAUGCCUGAAGCAUUUUCCCUUGGUGAAGAGGCCGUCAGGUAGAGCACCUCAGUUCACAGAGAAGGGUCAAGAGGGGCCAUGUAUAUAGCUGAGCUACCACAGCUUUGGUCAGCCCAACUUCCUGCUUCUGAGGGGCCUGGGAGUUCCUGAGGGAGGCUGGGGUGCCCCGGGCACCCCCCUCACAGGGGAGCACCAUCCCUCAGCACCCUGAGCCAGAAGGCCUGUGCUCAAGUCCAGGGGAAGGACCUCACAGCUGAGUAGCUCUCUCAGGCGCCCACCAACUCUGUGCCAUGUAUUCAUUAGCUCCCAGUUCUGGCAGUCAGAAGUCCAGGUUCUGUGUGGCUGGGUUUUUUUGCUCCGGGUCCCAGAGGGCUGAAAUUGAGGCAUCUACCAGGUUGCGUUCCUUUCUGCCGGUUCUGGGGAAGAAUUGGCUUCCAAGCUCCACUUGUUGGCAGAAUUCCAAUCCUUGCGGCUGUGGGACUGAGGUCCCCAUGUCCUCGCUGGCUGGCUGUAAGCCAGGUCCUCUCACGGCUCCUAGAGGCCGUCCACCUUCCUUGCCAUGGGGCUCCCUCCAUCUUCAAGUCAACAACAGAGGAUUUCUCAUGUGCUGAAUCCCCCACAUGCUUCAAAUCCCUGACUUCCUCCUCUUCUACCAGCAGAAAACUACUUUGAAUAGGCUCAUGUGGUUAGGGCAAGGCUCACACUCAAAUACUUUCCCUAUCUUCAGGUCAGCUUGCUAUAAGACAGAACCCAACCAUGGGCGUAAAAUCCCUUUGAGAAGCCGGGCGCAGUGGCUCACGUCUGUAAUCCCAGCACUUUGGGAGGCCGAGGCAGGCGGAUCACCUGAGAUCGGGAGUUCGAGACCAGCCUGACCAACAUGGAGAAACCCCGUCUCUACUAAAAAUACAAAAUUAGCCGGGCGUGGUGGCGCAUGUCUGUAAUCCCAGCUACUCGGGAGGCUGAGACAGGAGAAUUGCUUGAACCCGGGAGGCGGAGGUUGCAGUGAGGCGAGAUCACGCCAUUGCACUCCAGCCUGGGCAACAAGAGUGAAACUCCAUCUCAAGAAAUAAAAAUAAAAUAAAUAAAUAAAA
rnacentral:sRNA from 1 species